rnacentral:rRNA from 1 species
GGGAAUCCGGUCCGUAUUCCGGAACCCGACGCGGAACCGCUCCCUAGUGUUCGGGGCUCUUUUGUCUCGUCCGGGCAACCGGAAUGAACUCGAAGAAGCCGCCGGGCGGUCCGGGAAGAGUUCUCUUUUCUCUGUGAGCGUUGUACGUCCCUGGAAUCCUCUAGCCGGGCGAUAGGGACGCGAGCGCGAAGAGCACCGCUCGUUGCGGCGGUGUCCGUGACCGCCACGCGGACCUUGAAAAUUCGAGAGAGGGCCACGCGGAGUCUUCGCGUCGGUUCGUACCGAUAUCCGCAGCAGGUCUCCGAGGUGAGCAGCCUCUAGCCGCAUAGAAUAAUGUAGGUAAGGGAAGUCGGCA